UCGCAAUGGUGGUUUCAUGCCAUUUUAUUGAAUUGUGAUAUUUGCCUGACAAUGUCUUCUUCUUUUUGAAUGUUUACAAGUAAAAUGUGCUAGAAUCAUGUAUGUUUCUUUUACUUAUUAUUAUAACUUUUUUUGCCUUUUUUAUUUAUUUGUUUGUUCUUUACUUGUGGUUUAAUAAUAUAGACUUGUGCUCGGUUUUAAUUUCUCUAUAGUUCAUUCUAGUUAACUAGGAGAAGUGGUAUUAGUGAUGUGACUCCAUGGAUUUUGGUAUUGUGAAGUAGAACAAGUCAAUAUUUACAGUAAGUUAAAGUCACUAAUUCUUAUUGUAGAGCUAAAACAAUGACAUUAUUUUGGACCUUUAUAGUCUGUUUAAUAAAGUAUGUAAUUGUCUGUUCAGUGAUCCUCCCCCCUCCAAAAAAAUAGAACUCUGAAUGAAUAAAGUCUGUCUAGUCAACUUAUUUGGUUUAAGUGUGAAAGUGUAUCUGUUAGUAAUUUUUUUUUUAUCAAUGCUUUAUUUGUGCUAUUUAUUUUCUCUUACAGGUUGGUGGAGGUUAUCUAUUUGGGUUGCCUUUGGGGUUCGUUGUUGAUUCUAUUGGUGCAACAAUUAGUGCUACAGCUGCAUUUAUUCUUGGUAGAACACUGAGUAUUGUAGGCCAUAGUUUUCUUUAAGGACAAUUAAUUUUUUAAUUUUCUUUAACUAGAUUUAAGAUGCUUGCAAGUUGAAAGUGCUUGUCAUAUAUUAGACCAUAAAAAUAGAACUCUGAAUGAAUAAAGUCUGUCUAGUCAACUUAUUUGGUUUAAGUGUGAAAGUGUAUCUAUUAGUAUUUUUUUUUUCUAUCAAUGCUUUAUUUGUGCUAUUUAUUUUCUCUUACAGCUUGGUGGAGGUUAUCUAUUUGGGUUGCCUUUGGGGUUCGUUGCUGAUUCUAUUGGUGCAACAAUUGGUGCUACAGCUGCAUUUAUUCUUGGUAGAACAGGUUGUUGAGAUCAUCUGCACUUUGGUCAGGAAAUUAUCUCCUAAUCCUAAUAGUGCUGCUAUAAUGG